rnacentral:rRNA from 1 species
UGCCAGCCGCCGCGGUAACACGAACUGCGCAAACGUUAUUCGGAAUCACUGGGCUUAAAGAGUCCGUAGGCUGCUUGGCAGGUGGGGUGUGAAAUCCCACGGCUCAACCGUGGAAUUGCGCUCCAAACCGCCAAGCUAGAGGGAGAUAGAGGAGAGCGGAACUGAUGGUGGAGCGGUGAAAUGCGUUGAUAUCAUCAGGAACACCGGUGGCGAAAGCGGCUCUCUGGGUCUCUUCUGACGCUGAGGGACGAAAGCUAGGGGAGCGAACGGGAUUAGAUA